CAGGAAAAUUGAAUAUCAAGCUCUCGUGAAUCAAGAAAAAAAACGAAUUGGGACGUUUCUUUAAAUCAAAGUGCUCCUCGUUCACAAGACGAAAUAUCAUAGAUUGUUGAGAGAGUUCAGACCAGCUGUCGGAUGUAUUUUUAUGAUUAAUCAGACU
ensembl:ncRNA F55B12.14 ncRNA